GAAUACUGAGAAAUGCUGUUUUUGCGGACUUUUAAUCCGUUGGUCGCGAGUUCGAAUCUCGCAGGACCCACCA
rnacentral:tRNA from 1 species